GUGAAAUUAAACUAUAAACUUAUCCUUGCAGAACGGUACAUCCAUCAUUUUUUUACAUAGGGGGAACCUACAACAAAGCCGUGUAUAAGGACACAUAACAAAGGGAGGCAUAAACUUACAUGGUAUUCUUCUGGUAUCUGUGUUGUUCCCCCGGCCACAGGAAUGUAAGACCCUAUAUAUCCAUUGACCCUUUGUAUCCAGUGAAUGCAUGGAUUGCCUUUUAGGCAAGAAGAGGGAGAUUAAGAAGAAUAGAUCAUCGUGCCAUAGUGCCUGAGACAUGACAAAGCAUACUGCAUCAAGCCACCAACUACAGAGGGACACAAAGAGAAUAUGAGUCACCAUUGUGCAACAUACUGUAUAACUAACACUAUGAGAAUAGACGUGACUAAUCCAUACAUUCCUCACACUAG